rnacentral:rRNA from 1 species
UACGUAUGGGGCUAGCGUUGUCCGGAAUCAUUGGGCGUAAAGCGCGCGUAGGCGGCCCGGUAAGUCCGCUGUGAAAGUCAAAGGCUCAACCUUUGAAUGUCAGCGGAUACUGCCGGGCUAGAGUCCGGAAGAGGCGAGUGGAACUCCUGGUGUAGCGGUGGAAUGCGCAGAUAUCAGGAAGAACACCAACGGCGAAGGCAGCUCGCUGGGACGGAACUGACGCUGAGGCGCGAAAGCGUGGGGAGCGAACAGG